UACGGUGAGCAAUCGCUGCCGAACGGUAUAUUGCCGUACGGUAGAGGAAAGUCGAGACACGCACACCGGAUGCCUUUGGGCAAACGGUGUAGUACGGCGCCCGGUGUAAGCCGGGGCAGGGCGACCUGACGACGGUAAAAUAAACCCACUGGGUUUUAAGUAACCGUAAAGUGCCACAGAAACUAAGUCACCGGGCAAUCGGUGAGUGCAAGGGUAAACUCCGCCAGCGUGCAACCCAAAUAGGCGGUCUUUGAACCGCGGGUAGGGGCACCCCGUAAGGGGAGGCAGAUCGGAAGGUUUGCCUAGAUAGAUGAUUGCUAGACAGAAUCUCGCUUAUAGCC
rnacentral:RNase_P_RNA from 2 species